GAAUGGGAAGUAAACUAUUCCAAGACAGGAUGUGGAAUCAUUGCUGAACAAACUUGAUGGGGGUGGGCUGCGGUGUGAAACGCCUGCAAUUUGGAAUACUGGAACGGGUGCUGUUGGCCACACAUUAUCCUGCUUUCUUAAGGACAUGACUCUCCCUUGGGGACCCCUUCUGUCGCUGCUGGCUGCGCUGGCUGCUGCAGAGACCCUGACAACCCCCCAGGCCAGCUCCAAUGAGGUCCUAAAACACCAGGAGCCAGGACUCACCAAGAGUGAGAAUCUGGUGAUAGAGAACGCCCUCGUAAACCUUCCUCCCAGCAAGCCGAAUGCGACGGGCACAG